CAUGGCAUGACAAACGGUUCUUCAAGUGGGUUCCUCGGUGGAUUGGCCACCAUAGAAAUUUUUUGCUAAUUAGAUGGUCUGAACCAUCUAAUCAGUGACUUACAAAUGGAGUGUAUCAAAGAACAUUGCAGUGGUCAGUGUUGAAAUGGGAAAGGCCAGCUAAUCAGAUGGUGAUUGUCAAAACUUUGAAAUUUGCAGCAAGUAGUCCAUCCAUGGUCCAACUUACCCGAUGAAUGGUCAGGAUCAUGAUCCAUCCUGAGAGUGGCCAAUUUGAGUGCAGCGAACGAUCUAAGGAAAUUUGUGUGCUUUGCUCCAGUCAGCAUUCCUCUAUUUUGGUUACUCUAAUAAAACCAUACUUUCCUUUAAACAUAUUACAUGCUUGGAUGGGUAUCAUAUCUUCUUCUUUAUUGUUGAUCUUUGGAUCACUCCCAUUUUCUAUUGAAUCUUGUAGAAUAGUUACAUGUAAAUAAAAUAGAGGGACUCUGAGAAAACACAACAAUUUAUGUAUGAAUGAUAAUACAGCAUUUUGUGUGCAAGAUACAAUAUUUUGAAGUGUUCUAAAAAGCUAGAUUAGUCCAGACAUUAUGCCUUUUCUUUUAUUGUUUCUAGGUUUUGAAGGCACAGGCUCCAGCAAAGAGCAAAGGGUUUUCUGAUGUUUUAUACCUCGAUUCAAUAAACAAGAGAAAUCUUGAGGAGGCCUCUUCAUGUAAAGUUUUCAUCAUGAAGAAUGAUGUUAUAUCAACUCCCGCUAUCGAAGGAACUAUUCUACCAGGAAUUACCCGAAAAAGCAUCAUCGAGAUUUGUCCUCAUUUUGGCUACCAGAUUCAGGAGCGUCCUGUAUUAGUAGAAGAAUUGAUGGAUGCCGACGAAGUUUUUUGCACAGGAACUGCAGUGGUUAUCGCUCCUGUUGGCAGUAUAAUGUAUCAUGGUAAAAGGUAAAUAGAAGAACCGAUUGUGUUCUACAUGUAGUGGAUUGUUUGCGCCCUUAACAUGUAUUUUUCUCUUAAAACUUUUGAGAGUUGGAAUGAUAGGCUCUGUUUGGAUGCGAAGGGAACUGAUUUUUGAAUAUCCUGACAUCUCCUGAUAUUUACAAUCAGGAAGUACCCCACAAAUCGCAGCCCAGUUCCCUUUAAAUCCA